rnacentral:rRNA from 1 species
UACGAGGGGGGCAAAUGUUGUUCGGAAUCACUGGGCGUAAAGGGAGCGUAGGCGGGCUUUUAAGUUAGGUGUUUAAUCCCGGGGCCCAACCCGGACAGGCACCUAAAACUGGGAGUCUUGAAUAGUGGAGAGGUCGGCGGAAUUGGGGGUGUAGCGGUGGAAUGCGUAGAGAUCCCCAAGAACACCAGUUGCGAAGGCGGCCGACUGGACACAUAUUGACCGCUGAGGCUCGAAAGCAUGGGGAGCAAACAGGAUUAGAUACCCGAGUAGU